UACAGAGGUGGCAAGCGUUGUUCGGAAUUACUGGGCGUAAAGGGCGCGUAGGCGGUCUUGUAAGUCUUGUGUGAAAGCCCCCGGCUCAACUGGGGAGGGUCAUUCGAUACUGUUCGACUCGAAGGCAGGAGAGGGAAGUGGAAUUCCCGGUGUAGUGGUGAAAUGCGUAGAUAUCGGGAGGAACACCAGUGGCGAAGGCGACUUCCUGGCCUGUUCUUGACGCUGAGGCGCGAAAGCUAGGGGAGCAAACGGG
rnacentral:rRNA from 1 species